ensembl:lncRNA
GUCUGUGUGUGUCUUUUACAGAGUUUUAAACCUUGGGAUCCACAAAAAAGCAAGAGUAAAAGACGAACACUUUUUAAACAUAAUGUUGUUAACAAACUACAUUAAUCAAAAAUGGACAUAGCAAGCAUCACCAGACAGCUUCAGUCAAAAUUGGAUGUAGAAGAUAGAGUUAAGGCUCUGCAAGGACAUCCGAUUUCUAAGUUAGCAAUGUUUGGAAUGGUGUAUUUUAGUGCAUUGAUUUAUUUUAAACAAAGAACAAUAUACUUCUACCGCUUCUCCCGACCUGCGUUAUAGUCAGAGCGGGAGCAGCGGUUUCGCUCAUGCGCAAUUCUUUUGCAGUUUGGACCCGUAGGUGUAAAAAGCUCCUGCUCUGACAGCAGCUGGGGGCAACUGCUGCAUUAGGACGGCCGCCUGUGAGUGCUUUGGCACGGGCGAGGUGCCCACGGCAGCUCCCGCUGCUUGUAAGAGCGAUACGUGCUUCCACGUCAAAAACUCGUAAUAACACCAGAAAAAAGUCACCAGAUUUGUCGCUAGUCGCUUUUUAGAAAAAAAAAAAAUCAAUUAAGGCGUCUGAAAACUCGCUAGAUAUAGCGACAAAAUCACUGUCGUUAAGUCCUCCGUUAUUUAUUUAGCUAAACAAGUCAAUUAACACUGGCUUACAGCACCAUAGAAAUAUAUACAAAAAUACAAGCCUCCGUUAUUUAUUUAGCUAAUAUGCUAGUAGCCAAUGUGCUUUAAGCUAACUCGGCUUCCCACAAUCUUACAUUUCUGAAUAAAAACACUAAGAAGUUACCUUUAAUACCUCCGACCAGUAUAAUUUCAUUCCACGUUAACAGAGCUUUCUACGUGAGAGCAAGCCGUAAAACUUGAACACAAAAAGUAAAUAAUUAAAAAAGGGGAGUGUGUUGUUUGUUAAUCGACGGUGAGACAGCGGGGGCGUAAUCCCAAGGGCGGAAGCACCCCGGGUUUUUUCCUUUCUGGGUUGCCAUUCCUCGAGAACAGCAGGUUAAUAUUAAGGUUAGCUUAAUGGUUAAUAC